AUCUUGGACGCGGACAGCACAGCUUUAUAAGCCUGCCUUAGGAUCGUGUAUCGAACUACAAGUCUUUAAAUUUAUUACAGGGAAAAGCAGGAAAGCAGAACUAGAACAAGAUGGUAGGAUUUUCUUCCCAAACAGAAUCUUGGGUUGCCACCAGAAACUCAAUCUACGAAUCCCAGAAAGAGGCAGAUAGCUUCGAAUUGGAUCUAAAACGUCUAGAUCUGAUAAAGAUAGAUCAAGAAGACGAGAAUAAUAAUAUUAACAGCCAAGAUAAGAUUAGCACCACCAAGAAGAACAAGAAGAAAAAUCAGGUGUUGCUGGAGGGGUACGUGGAGGCGGUUGAUGAGGAGGAUGAACUGAAGAGGACAAAGAGCUUGACCGGUGAUGAUCUAGACGAACUAAAGGGGUGUUUAGAUCUGGGGUUUGGCUUCAGCUACGAGGAGAUUCCUGAGCUUUGCAACACCUUGCCUGCACUUGAGCUAUGUUACUCUAUGUCUCAGAAGUACUUGGAUGACCACCAGCACCAUGCAUCUCCAGACACCACCGCUACCCCCGAACCCGUCGCCAAUUGGAAGAUCUCUAGUCCUGGUGACCAUCCAGAAGAUGUUAAAGCAAGGCUUAAAUUCUGGGCACAAGCUGUGGCCUGCACUGUCAAACUGUGCAACUAAAAGAUUCAUGAACAAUCAUUGGAAAAAUGAGAAUGAAUAUUUUUCUCAUUGAUGAGCAUCAACUGGAUAAAACCCUACGCUCUGCCGAACCAUGCCAUGGUGGGGAUGACAUUUCCAGCAAUUGUGGGAAAUAGACCAGGCCAAAAUUUUAAAAAUGGAUCAGCUGCAAGGAGCAUGGGAAGAAGCUGGAAAGGAAGAUGUUACAGUGGUGAGAGUCUCCAGUUGAGCUUCACCAACUAGUUCCGGACCUCUGCGUUUGCUGAGGUAACCAAUCUAAUUGUGUUGAUUCAUCAUACCUGUGUUUCCUCUCACCAUGAUUACUGUGGUGGUACCUAGCUAACCAAUGCCGCAGCAUGGAACCACUGAUACUUGAGCUUUGCUAAGAAUAAACUGACCAUUUUAUGGCCAUAGAUGAAUAUAGGGCGAACAUGUAUGUUCAUCGCUUCUACUCCUAUUCUAUCUAUCCCUAAUGCCUUGAAUUUUGAGGUAAAUUGAUACUUGUAACCAAUAUGAAUCUUGGUGGGAGUUGUUAGGGUUUUCUUUCUCACGGAACGGAAGGCUGCAAAUUACACGCAUUCCACUGAGAUGGCUCAUCUUUGCGUAUGUUAAUGUGGUGUUGAAGGUUACGUUUUGGUAUCAGUUUCAUUUUGUGGUUGAGAUAGGAAGAAAACUCAAAACUUAUCUGAUAAUCACAGCCUAGUUUGAAACAGUAAGAGAAGGGACGAAAUUUGACUCGGAUUGGAUUUCCGUUAUUAGGAAAAGAGGCUUUGAGUUGAAAUAUCAAAAUUUAUUGAUUGGGGGUUAUGUCAAAGUUUACUCUUCUCCAGAAAAUCACAUCAGCAAAUAGCAGUUUAUGUUUACGUUUUCAUUUAUUAAAUCUCUCUAUACCUCAUUCUGAGCUGCCAAUCGAAUUCUUCGACCAAGUCCCUCCAUAUCAAUAACAAAUAGAUAUGACCUCUUUGACUCUCAGUAA